UAGGGCUGCCCAUAUAAACAGGGCAGUUCUGCUGCUAGAGGCCAGGCAACAACAUUGUCUGCCUGUAGGUAUCAUUUGGAGCAAGUCGUGGUGGGUGAGACAGGCAGGUGGCGUGCCUAGAGGCAGGUGGGAGGCCGUUGACAGCUGGCCUGAGAGAAGCCCACUUUGCCACACCUUCAUGUCAGGAUCUGACAGACAUACUUGCUUGUUCCCUGAAUUGCUUCUGGAAACUAAUGUAUACAACAUGCAAGAAUAGCAGCACUGUCCUUUUAGCCAGGAUUUUUAACUGAAUGUCCUGCAGACCACUGAAUCCCAUAGAGCCAGAAAACUGAUCAGGCACAAACUGAUGAGGCCUCUUUGGAUCCAUGAAAUGCUCUGCAGUGACUGAAAUACUCUUUAAGGUUACUUCUGAACCUCAAGCAAACCAACGUACUACUUAUGUUUCCCGUGCAAGCAUUCCUGUAUGAAUAUAAACUGUGUUUAUUACAACCUCACCCCAGUCAGGAGGGAUAGCUCCUCAUGAGUUCUACCAAGUCAGCAAAACAGGUGGCAGGUCAUUACAGAGUGGAGUAAAGAUUCAAUUCUGAAUUGUGAAGGUCCAGCAGUUAGAUGUGGGUGAGAAGCACCAGCCACCUGUGGGGAUGUCUGCAAGGAUGAUGCCACCAUCAGCUGGUGCCCUCUGCAUGCGCCACAACCACCAAGAGUGCACACAGAACCCCUCCCACCUGCUGAAUCACCUGGUCACAGUGGAAGAGGAGUGGCUGGCAGACUUGUGGGCCCGGUGAGCUCAGGACCUGGAGUGGGAGCAGGAGAGGGACUGGGAGGACUGUACCUUCUAGGACAGGCUCCUUGCUCUUGAGGAGAGGCACAUUGCCUUCCUGUGAGCAAUUGCUUGAGGCCUGGGAAUGGCAGGCUGCCAUGGUGGCCAGGGCCAUGGAGGCAGCAGAGGAGGACAGCUGGGUGCUGGACACCAUCCUGGCCCUGGCAGUCACCUUUGUGCCACCUGGCACCCAUCCCCUGGCCUGAGCCCCAUCUGGGACCUGGCAACCACCCAUGGCCCAGCACCUCCCAGCGGGCUUGGGAUGAGGUCCAACACCACCUGCAGCAGCCAAGGCCGCCUGCCUCUGCUCCUGAGCCAGAUCCUGUGGAGGCCUGGCCCCCUGCCUGGGCUGCCUCCCACUGAGCGGGAGCUGCCCACAGCUGGGCCAGCUCAGCAUGGGGAUGCUGCUGGCUCCAGACCUGUGGUGGAGGAAGGGGAGCAGGUUGAGCAGGCGGGGCAGAGCCUGCCCUUGCUCUUGGGUGAGCCUCAAAUCUGUUGGUCUCACUGCAGUGUCCACGCUUGUGGUGGUACCACCAGAGGCCAGGGUGCUGGGCACCUGUUCCCAGGAUCAAUGCCAUAGGUGCCUCCACCCCACUGUUCCCCCCUUUACAGGUCAGAAGGCACAUUGUACAUAGUUGCAUAGGAAGCAGAACCUGUGGUGCACAUUGGGGUUAAGGAGGGGUGUGCUGCU